AACCAAAAAAGCCAGGGUAUAUGUGCCUGUUUUCCCUUGUGACUUAAGACCAACUGAUUUCUGCCAUGUCUCUGGGGACUUUGGUGGUAUGAGCACCCCUAUAGCACCAAGCAUUUGUCACUGAGCUACAGGGACAGUGCCUACGAAAGCCAGGCCACCUGCGCGCAGAGGCCUGCUUAAUUUACCAAGCCAGCGUGUGCAGAUAUGGAGAGGUCCAGACUGAACUCCGUGGCAAGCUCAUGCUCAGGUAAGCAAGGUCAGGCGUCCCUGGGGGCCCAGGCAAUUACACAAACGGCAGCUCAUUGCAGACCCACAAAUAGGUUGCCAUUUGCUUCUUGCUUUGUUUUGGGCUUGGCACCAAUUGUAUACAGGGAGAAUUAUAGUGCAGCGUUCACCUGCCAAAAAGAAAAAAAAGACUGUGCUUGGUUUUUUUUUUUUUAAUUUUAUUUUAUUUUUGUAAGUAUAACAGACAAUCUUGUUAAUGUAACCCAGUUGGAAUUUUAUAGUUCUAGGAGUCUGGAUUUUCAUUUUUAAGGUAUUGAUCUCAGACACUUCAACGCCAUGACGACCCAACAUCAUGGUUGACAACUGCCGGUCUAGUGUAUAAGACAGAUGAUCAAGGUGAUAGGACCACGUGAUCUCAGAUUCUAACUGGUAGGUUCCAUUUGUGCAUAACGAAUGCUUCCAAUUCUCAAGUGCCCGGCGGAAGGGCCUUCUACGCCAUUUUACAAAUGAACAUGCUCAAGGACUUUUCAGACAGUUGAUCAUUAACUCUCAGGAAAGGCCUGACCCUCACAUUCUCCUGGCUGCUUCACAUUUUUUGAGGAAAAGGUUCCAGGGACAGAGGUGUUACGCUCACAAGCUCUUGUGGAUUGGAUUUCUGGGACAUUCCCAGAGAAGUUGCUCAGACACGCCAGGACGCGACCGUGCACCCCUUAGGAUUUCGGCUGCAUCGCCUGAAAAAGGAAAGGUCAUACAUAACACAUGGUUCUCCGGAACCGGCUCCAUCCGCUCCUCCGGCCCCGGCCCCGAGCAGCUCACAAAGAGAGAUGGAAGAGAUAAGCAGAGUAGCUGAAUCAGAAAUGAACAUGCGACCCUGUGGGAACAUGACAAGUAUUUUAUCCCCGAACAACUCAGGCAACAACAGAUGUUGGCGAGGAUGCGGAGAAACGGGAACCCUCUUGCACUACUGGUGGGAAUGCAAACUGGUGUAGCCGCUCUGGAAAACAGCGUGGAAGCUCCUCAAAAAAUUAAAAAUAGAUCUACCCUACGACCCAGCAAUAGCACUGCUAGGAAUUUACUCAAGGGAUACAAGUGUGCUGUUUCGAAGGGGCACAUGCACCCCAAUGUUGAUAGCAGCACUAUCGACGAUAGACAAAGUAUGGAAAGAGCCCAAAUGUUCAUCGAUGGAUGAAUGGAUAAAGAAGAUGUGGGAUAUAGAUACAAUGGAGUAUUACUCGGCAAUCAAAAAGAAUGAAAUCUUGCCAUUUGCAACUACGUGGAUGGAACUAGAGUGUCUUAGGCUAAGCGAAAUAAGUCAUUCAGAGAAAGACAAAUAUGUGAUUUCACUCAUAUGUGGAAUUUAAGAAAAAAACAGGUAAACAGAAGGAAAAGGAAGUGAAAAUAAGAUAAAAACAAGGAGACAAAUCAUAAAAGACCCUUAAAUAGAAUAAACUGAGGGUUGCUGGAGGGGUGUUGGGUGGGGGGGGGAUGGGCUCAAUGGGUGAUGGGCAUUAAGGAGGGCACUCGUUGGGAUGAGCACUGGGUGUCCUAUGUAAGUGAUGAAUCACUAAACUCUAUUCCUGAAGUCAUUAUUACUAUAUGUUAAGUGACUUGGAUUUAAAUUAAAAAAAAAAACUUAAGUAUUGGAAAUAUGUUACAGAAUGGACAUAGGCCAAUUUAAAUGGUUCAAAGGAUAGCCACCAUCUAGAAAUAUAUCUACCUUUUGCAGGCAUCACACACAAUUAUAAAACAGCAACAAAAAUUAAGAACUGUACAAGAAAUGCUAAACAUUGCACCAAUUAUUUGACUUAAAAAAUGGCCAAGGGGGGUGGGGGGAAGAGGCAUUAUCUUCCAAGGAUGAAGUGCCGGUGGAGGGAGGAGAAGGAGGGAGGUACUGAGAAGAGAGCCAGAUUACGGCUUGUGUAAGUCGUGGUGACAAUGGCUGUUUACCAAGAAUCGGAAAAGGGAAGAAGGCACGGUAUUUGGAAGAGAGGGAAGACAGUGAGUUCCUUUUGGACGGGGCUUACAGACACCCAAGUGGAAAUAUCCACCAGGCGGGCAGAUAUAUGAGUCUGGAGCUCAGAGACGUCUGGGCUGGAGGCGUAACUUCGGGUCAACAGAGCACUGAAGCCAUGAGUGUGCAUGAGAUCACUGGAGACAGUGGUGCAGGAGCAGCAGCCCCGGGGCCUGGGCUGGAGGAGGGAACCCGGAGGGAGGCCAGGCCGGGAGGGGACAGGAACCGAGGAGCCAGUCAGCAGCACCUGCAGGUAGCCCUCCUCAGAUGGACACAAACCUGCCUGAGCCAGGACGGAGGGAACCGUGCAGAUUCGCCUUAAACAGUUCAAACGGGGCCCAGUUUCCUUUGUCACUGUUACUUGUCAUUGGCACUCUCAAGUAGGGUUUUCAGAACACUUCCUCAAUGAUUGUAGUUUUAAAAAAUUCCGCAAGGAAGUUGUGAAGGCUAGGACCCGCCCCCCCCUUCCCCUGGUCCACUGGGGUAUAAUUGACAAAUAAAAUCAUGAGAUAUGUGAAGGGUACAGUAUCUGAUUUCAUGUACGUGUACAUUGUGAGACGGUUCCUUCCAUCAAGUGAACGCAUCCGUUGCCUCAUGUGUUAUCUUUGUGUGCGGGGGUGUGGUGAGACUAAGCAAGGUCUACUCUCUUAGCAAAUCUCAAUUAUGCAGUACAGUGUUAUUUAACUUUAGUAACUAUGUUUUAUGUCUGGUCCUCAGACCUUAUUCAUCUUAGAGUUGAAAGUUUGUACCCUUUUGUCAACCUCUUCCUAUUUCCCUCAUCCUUCAGCCCUUGGCAACUAUAUUUUUCUUUUCUUUGAAAAAAUUUAUUUUUUAAUGUUUAUUAAUUUCUGAGAGAGAGAGAGAGAGAGAGAGAGAGACAGAAUGUGAGUGGGGGAGGGGCAGAGAGAGAGAGGGAGACGCAGAAUCGGAAGCAGGCUCCAGGCUCUGAGCUGACAGCACAGGGCCCGACGUGGGGCUCGAACUCGCAGACCGUGAGAUCAUGACCUCGGCUGAGGUCGGACGCUGAACCGGCUGAGCCCCCCAGGCGCCCCUUUAUGAAAAGAUAAGGAAGUUGAAGCUCACCUGUGGGGGGAAAGGGCAGCUAUGGUUAAUUGGCCCUUGGCCUUAGUGUCUUCCUGGCUGUUUCUUUGUACUUCAGUUUGAAGUCAUCGAGUAUAACCUGUCCCUUCACCUACUGGGUUGCAAUGUACUUGACAUUGGGAGUCCUGGCUUCAUCUACCCCCAAGCUCCUCUUCCUCCAUCCAGCACCUUCCUUUGUAACUCCAAAGUAUUUGAUAAGUUGGGGGUGAAUGGAAUCGAUAGCAGGACCAAAGCAUCCAUGGUUUGAAUACUUGAAGCUUUCAUCUGUCGCUCAGUGAUUCCCUUCCUUACUACACAGCAGUGGUUGGGAUGGAUUUUGUUGUAACCAGCCUUAGAACAACAAAAAGGGCUUAAUACAUCCUGUAGGGGAGACUUCCUAGGAAAUUCAGCACGACCAGCUCAACAAAUACUUUUGGAUCAGUAUGUAUUUUUACACGAUUCCUCUCCCCCCUUUUUUCUCCCCCUAACCAUACACACAACUGCUUUGGAAUUUGCUUUUGGAAACGUGGAGAAAUAAUCUUCUUUCGUUUCUUUAGAGUUAAAAAAAUGUCUAUCUCCCUUUGACUUUUGGCUAUUGUAUUUUGUACAACUUUACGUUUAUUUCCUCUGAGUUUACACACUCAUAGGAUUCCUGAUAUUGGCCAGUUUCUGCCCUGGACUAUUCAAAAUGAGGGCGACUCAUAUAGCACAGGGGGAGAGAAUGCUGGCCUUGGCUUUAGUAGAUCCAGUGUGGGCACUGUGUGGCCUCAGGCAAGUUACUUGGCCUCUCAGAAUCUGUUGCUUUAUCUAUAGAAGAAAUGCUAUGGCCUUCACAGGGCUUGAAACGAGAAUUACGCGAAAUGAGGCCUAAUGGUAGCCCACCCUUGCCUAUACUAUGUGCCCCAUAAAUGUUUAUUUCCAUCUACUCCCUCUGUUUUAAACUCUGACACAUAUUUAUUAUGUAAACUUGAGAGAGCUCUUCCAACAUUGAUGCAUACGAUCAGUCUAUAUCUGUCAUUUACGCUUCUUACUUUUUCCAUUAGCCUGUGCUUCCCACAAUAGUUUGGAAAUACCUUGAAGAUGGAAAGAUAUAUUUUAUGUUUUAGGUGUUUUUAUGCCCAAUCACCUACGAUAUGCUUCUCAUCAAGUAGGCGGCCAGGUACUUUUUAACUAUCUUUUCUUUUUCUUCUUCUUUUUUGUUUUAGUGUUUAUUUUAUUUUUGACAGAGAGAGAUAGAAUGUGAGCGGGGGGAGGGGCAGAGAGAGAGGGAGACACAGAAUCCAAAGCAGAAUCUGAGCCGGUCAGCACAGAGCCCGAUGCGGGGCUUGAACUCAUGGACCGUGAGAUCAUGACCUGAGCUCAAGUUGGAUGCUUAACCGACUGAGCCACCCAGGUGCCCCCCUUUUCUUUAUUUUGAUUACGUCGUUUGUUAUGUAGUGAUAACGACAGUAUUUGCCCCUGUAUAAGAAAUUAAUUACAAAUAAAAAAAAUCUGUAAAUCUCAGGUAUUCGUGGUGGAGAUUAGGGGUUGUUACCAUUGAUUUGCCCCACGAUUUCCCUGAUCAGAGGGUACUUGGAUUUAUACUCAUCACUCUGUUCUGUGUGGCAAGCUUCCCAGCACAAUCUGCAAAUUGGCAAGCAGUGAAGUUUGUGCAGACACGACAGUCAGUUAGAAAUAGAGGGAGUGUAUAAUUUGCUGUUCAAAUGGGAGCACAUGUGAAAGUGCAAAGGGAGAGCUUUUAAUGAUUAUGUUGGCUCAACAGUGGUAAAGCAGGGCCAUCCAGGGCAACCAUGGCUACUCUGGUUAUCACAGACAGGUACCAGGGGUAUCUCUGCCUUGCAACAGCACCUCCUAAACUAACCCCAUUGAUAUGCUACGGAAGCGAUUCUAAUGCGAAUUGAAUUUGGUAUGCCUUCUGCAACAUGCUUUCAACCUGGGCAUUUCUUUACCCCUGUCUAUUAGUAUCUAAUGAGGGGUGGUGUUGGCUAAAUUAAGCACAUUAUGUUGAAGAGAAGAGAAGUAACCUAAAUGAGAGAAGGUUCCCAGUUUCUCUCAGCAGAGACAUUAUGUGAUAUCUUUUAACCUUACAGCUCACAGUCUAAGGAGGGCCUCUGGUGUGGUGCUCCUACAGUGCUCCUGUUGUCUCCCCACCUUGACCCCAGGCUGCCUGAUGGCUCUCCAGCCCCGGGCAGGAGAGUGCCAGUUCUAAGAAUCUUCUCUGAAAGGCAACUUAACCCGUGUGACUGUAAGAGAACUUACUACAAUUUACUCGGUAGAGUAGGGACAGAAAUUUCUUUGCAAAUAGAAGAUGCUUGCAUACUUUGCUCUGAAUUCUUUAUGUUUGUCCUCAUUUUAGUAGCAGUUGGCUUUCCGAGGACUUGUAAAGUCUUCAGUGACACGGUAAUAAGCACUGAGAUCAUAACUUUGUCUUUCACAAAAUAAAUCAGCAAAGAGUUUGAAGUAAAGGUGGGUAUUUAAACCGUUUCGCCGAGGAGUUCCAGUCUGUUAUCCAGAUGGAAAUGAGAUGCCUCUUGAUUUGCAGGUAGUCAAUAAAUCUUUUUUUUUUUUUUUUGUAAAUAAAAAAUGAGCUUUUUUGAGCGAGGUUGAGGCUAUCUUCUGCCAUUCCUUACCCAGGCAAUAGGUUUUCCU